UCCACCACAAGCUCACCCAAAAGGUCAUGACUUGAAGGUAUUAUUGGUAGUAACUUAUUUCUUUAUAUGUAGAUAAAUUUUUCCCCUAUCUUUCGAUGUGGGACUGGGGUGUUAGACCCCCUGCAGAUGACAUUUUAUAGGUGAAAGGAACAAUAGCCCACUUCAAAAAUUUCUAAUUUACAAUUCAUAUACUCAAUUGCAACCAAACUUUAACAUGCAAUAGACAUAUUAUUUUUUAAAACAAACAACUUAGCUAACUUGGACAUUUUACACAGGUUUUACAAGACCUCAAAACUGCCUUGUUGUGGCAAUUUUUUUUUAACAGAGCCCAACACCUUCAAUUCUUGCAAUUUUACUUUUAAACUUGUUUUCGCUUACCCAAACAACUUGAAUCACUUCAUAUAAUACAUAUAUAGGCUUCUUUGUUCACAAUAUUAACAAAUUUUCACUUUUAAAGCUUGAUAGCCUCUAAGAGGCAUAACAUCAAACAUGCUUUGUGCAUUAUUUUUAAGAAACAGAAUUCACAAGUGUUGGAGCAUGGAUUAGCCCAAAUUUCUCCAUCCUUAUAACUCCAUAAAGCAUAUAUCUCCAUCUUCAUAAAAUACUACAGCCAAACAUAUCAGUUAUAUUAAUAUUUACUAUUUACAUAUGUAUUUACUCAAUUUCGUAUAAAUAUAUAGAAAUACAUGAAUUACCUCCAUGAUUACUAUUCUUAUUUAAAUUCUUAUUAUCAGUUUGAUGUGUACUGAAUUCAAUCUUCUUUUGCCGAGAAUGAGCUUUAAUCUCUUCCCAAUUUAGCUUGGAUCUUCGAGCUAGAUUUUCCCCCACCCGUGACCCGACCAAGAGAAUUUGACGAAGGGUUGAAAGUAUAAAAGCUUAAUAAUAGAUAGAGAAGGAAUUUUUGGAACGGAUGGGCUGAUAUUGGAGAACUUAAAAUGACUUGAUUUAGUGGGUGGGUGUUUAGUAUAUUCAUAUUGUGCCACCUCCUUUAAAUAACUCAGCAACAAUAGUGGAGGUUAAAUUAGCAUGAUCAUGCCUUAUCCUGUAAUACAUAUAAAUAUUAAAUAUUACAUACACACUAAACCUUUCUAUUACACAUAUAUGCACGGUUCAAGAGCAUUACUCUUAAAGGGCAUUACUUUGUUAAAUAACAUACCUAUUUAAAUGCCAUUACUUUUAAUUUCUCUCUCACUCACUUGCCCAAGCUCUGAGACUUGCAACUCCAAAAAUUCCUCUCAAAUUCAAUACAAUCACUCCUUGCCCAAUUCCACCGCUCUGAAAUUCUCUCCUCCAAACUCAUCAUCCCCUUCACCGUACGGCCUCAUUUCUCGUAUCCCACCUCCGAUCUGAAACUCCUCCUCCAAACUCUCCAUCGACCCAUCUUCCCCGUUAGCAAACACGGCCAGAUCUUGAAAUAUCUCGGUAGACCCUUAACUAAAUUUUAAUUUCAUUAAGAAUUAACUAGAAUUCAAUUUCAUUUUGUGAUUCAAUUUGGGAAUUUUCGCAUUUGGGAAUUAAUCCUAAUUUAGUUUAUUUAUUUAUUUAAUUUUUUGUUUUUGUGGUGGACUGUGAACUACAUUACUACGAUGCUUGUUUAUGGGUUGAUUUUUUGGUUUAUCUAGUCGUUUGGUCACCUUUUUUUUAGAAUUAGAAUUUCUGGAGUAAUUGUGAAACAAUUCUCAGAAUGAAUUAGAAUGAUUAAAGUUGUUGUUUUAUGUCCUAAUAAUGCAUACUGUGUGUGAGAUGGUCAAUAAUUUUGCUAGUUACAGUGUCUGUAUUAAUUAUGUUUAUGUUCUUGUAUUUAUUAAAUUAUUCUUUUUCAUAGAACAGAGUUGUAACUUGUAAUUUCCUCAUACGGCUCAAUAGGUUGAAGAGUCAGUCUCCGUGGAGCCCACUACAGAUCGAUUCAAUGGGUGAACUCAGAUUCGAGUUAGGCCAGUACAACCCAUGCAAAUUCAUAUGGGAAAUUGUAGCCGCCAUUGUUUACCCCAAAAAGCUUUCCAAAAGCUUUCCAUUGUUGUUCUUCUUCUUCUCUGUGAUUUUACUAAAUUCCAUGAGUAAGUUGUCUUCAGAAAGAAAUUUAGGAGGAAGCCAAAACUCUCCGUCAUCCAAAUCCUCUGCCAUCUGAAGAAAUCACGGGAAGUAAAUAUAAACACAAAGAAUUAAAAAUAAAAUAUGAUAUACAGUUAAAAGUAAAAGCUUUGAUUACCAUGUGUGAUGGGGUAAUUGCUGCUUCUUUAAGGUUGAAUUAUAAUUAUUAUUAACCCCUACUACCUUUGCUUUAAUCAGGCCUAGGAAGAAGAUAGUGAUGAGGAGGAAGAGAAGAAGAACACAGUGGUGCAGAGAGUUGGUUUAAAGAUUUUAGAGUGAUGAGAGAGCAAAAUCGAGGGAGGCAGAGAGUGUAUAUAUAAAGUGUUUUCCUUAAAAGAGAAGGGAGGGAACCCUAGGUUGAUGAAUUUUUUAUGUCACGCUCCAUAAUUGAAUGUGAGAAAGGCGCCAUUUUUGCACUAUUUUUAUAAUUAUUUUGUGGAUGCACUAAUCUUGUAAUUACUUUUUAAUUAUUGUAUAGUAGUGUAAAGAACUCAUUUCAAAGUCA
rnacentral:lncRNA from 1 species